AACGAACGCUGGCGGCAUGCCUAAUACAUGCAAGUCGAGCGAUCACUUCGGUGGUAGUGGCGCACGGGUGCGUAACGCGUGGGAAUCUGCCCUUGGGUUCGGAAUAACGUCGGGAAACUGACGCUAAUACCGGAUGAUGACGUAAGUCCAAAGACUUAUCGCCCAGGGAUGAGCCCGCGUAGGAUUAGCUAGUUGGUGGGGUAAAGGCCUACCAAGGCGACGAUCCUUAGCUGGUCUGAGAGGAUGAUCAGCCACACUGGGACUGAGACACGGCCCAGACUCCUACGGGAGGCAGCAGUAGGGAAUAUUGGACAAUGGGGGCAACCCUGAUCCAGCAAUGCCGCGUGAGUGAUGAAGGCCUUAGGGUUGUAAAGCUCUUUUACCCGGGAUGAUAAUGACAGUACCGGGAGAAUAAGCCCCGGCUAACUCCGUGCCAGCCGCCGCUGUAA
rnacentral:rRNA from 1 species